rnacentral:rRNA from 1 species
UAAGACGGAGGGGGCUAGCGUUGUUCGGAAUUACUGGGCGUAAAGAGCGCGUAGGCGGCUCGACAAGUUGGAUGUGAAAGCCCGGGGCUUAACCUCGGAACUGCAUUCAAAACUGUUGGGCUAGAGUAUGGUAGGGGGUGAUGGAAUUCCUAGUGUAGAGGUGAAAUUCUUAGAUAUUAGGAGGAACACCGGUGGCGAAGGCGGUCACCUGGGCCAUUACUGACGCUGAGGCGCGAAAGCGUGGGGAGCAAACAGG